AGACAGCAGUAGCCACGGUAAUACGAAGGGUGCAAGCGUUAAUCGGAAUUACUGGGCGUAAAGCGUGCGUAGGCGGUUUGUUAAGUCUGUUGUGAAGUCCCCGGGCUCAACCUGGGAAUGGCAAUGGAUACUGGCAAGCUAGAGUGUGUCAGAGGAUGGUGGAAUUCCCGGUGUAGCGGUGAAAUGCGUAGAGAUCGGGAGGAACAUCAGUGGCGAAGGCGGCCAUCUGGGACAACACUGACGCUGAGGCACGAAAGCGUGGGGAGCAAACAGGAUUAGAUACCCCCGUAGUCCCUGUCUCUUAUAC
rnacentral:rRNA from 1 species